UUUGAUAUUUAUUAGUACUUUCACAGGGUUUGUCACCGGAAGUGAUCUACAACAUGGACAAUCAUCCCGAUUUCUCCUAUCUCGUUGGCCAGGUCGCAACCAAUCUGAAAGAGACCCUUCCGAGGGAUUUUCCAGGUGUCGUGCAGAUUGUAGAAAUCAUAGGUCCUGAUGAAUUCGUUCCCGAAGACUACUGUCCGACUCGCCUUCGUCUGUUCGUGGAUAAAGAUGGCGUCAUCAUCAGACCUCCGCGCCUGGCAUAGACGAACUGUGAGACGCUCAAAAACGUUCUGUAAAGAUAGCUGGUUACAGGUACACUGUACAGAGGUAGAACACAGAAUGUUGAUGUACAUCCGGGAAACCACACGGCUGUCAUCUUGAAGUUGAUGCUAGACGAUUUCAUAUUAGGAUGCGUUAAUUAAGUUAAGACUCGUCUGAUUUCUAUGUAACAAAAAAUCCGUCGACGUCCAGUUCCCACUAGCCUACAAUGUAAGUCUUUCAGGCUGAAAUUCGAAAGAACAUACAAAGCACUCUCAGAUCUAGAGUCUGGAGCCUAAAACCGUUCCCUAAUACUUUAGCUAAGUAAUGAUUUACGUAAUUGAUAUUAAUUGAUUUGUCUAAAUAUAAUCAGCAAAAUUGAGUAGAGGGAAUAGAAGCAAACAGCUCCACACCCAUCAAGUGGAUUGGAUUUCAUAUGAAGACAUCCAUGAUCAUGUAAUGAGGGAGCUAUGCCUUACAAUAGCUGG